CGGCAGCAGGGGUCUUGUGUACAUGGUGCAUGUGGCUGGCACUCAGCUAACACUGUGCUCCUUUGCAUGUGUGGAGGGUAGAGAAAGGCUUCUCAGUUCUGUCUUAGUCAAGAGCGCACUGGGUAAUAAACUGUUGCUUGUUCUUUAGGGAACCAUGAGUGAUUUGAACGGAGGUUUUGGAAGAUUUGGGGGACUCCAUCUAGAGGACUGCAGAAAGCACAUUCAGACGUGAUUGUCUCCCAGAAGAGAAACCAUGAAAAGGGCCUGGACCAGACUGGGCUGGACACGCAUCGUGUAUACGCAAUAUCCUGAACUGGACUGAUCUUGGGCCAUUCUGUAUUUCUGUAGUUGUCCUGCCGUCCACACACAGCAAGACCAUGGCCUUGGUAAAUUCCACCAAAGGAAAGUUCCCAUUGCCAGUCAUCCUGGAAGAAAGAUUAUCCUGGGGCAGAAACUGAGGACUCAGGAUGUGGGCCUUUGGGAUGACAGAGAAGUUCUCUCCCUCUCUCUCUCUCCUGAUUUUAGUCUGCCCUACGAGUGAAGACAUGCUCCAUGCAGCUCUAGAAGUGGAGCUGAGCUGGGCCCUGCCAUGUGAAGCAAGCUGGGCCUGGAUAGGUCUAUAACAUGCUCCCUUAUCUCAGAGUGCACGAGCAAGACCAAGGGCUCCAGCUGGAGGUUGUUGAUUGUAAAGAAAGGGAAGAAAUCCCAUUGUGCACUGUGACAUCGACCACUCUAUGCUGUGCAGAGAGUCCCAUUGAAGAAUAUUCAGGCCCUGGAGGGACCACUAGAGUUUCUGCUACUGGAGGGCAGGGGCUCUGCCUUAUAGGUGCGGAUGUUCGAGCCCGGAGAGGCCCUUAGCGACCGUCAAGUUCAGCCCAGAUAGGGAAAGGAGCUUGUGCAAGACCCCAUGGUCGGCAGGCCCUGAGCUGAUGGGACCCCGCUUCGCACUGCUGCAUAUCUGCACCCAGCACAAGGCCUUGCACAUGGUUGACUUUCAAAAAUUUGUGAUGAAUGCAUGGGUGAAGGCAUGAACAGACCAGCCAAACCCUGGGGACGGUUCUCCUGCCUCUCAGGCAAGGCCUUGACCUUGCCUUGCCUCUCAAAGAGCUGCUCUGACUGGGGAUUGAGGCCAAACCAAGGGCCAAGCGGGCAGCGAAGCCCCUCACCAGCUUCGCCUCGGCAUCCUCAUCAUCUCACAUUGUCUGCCUUUGCGGAGAAGAUGCACAGAGGAAGUUGCCCAGUGAAUGGAUUUGUUGAAUGGGUGUGUGAAUAAGAUAUUCUGUCCUUCUGGCUAUCUCUCCACUUGGAGAGCGUGAAGGGAAGUUGUCUUCACCUGGAUCUCCCUAAAGCAGGAUUUGGUGGUAAUUAUUCGUUUAGGAGAUAAGCCACGGAAUUCAAGGUGAGAGAGAGGGUACGCGAGACAGGGAAGGCAGGUAAGUCACCUCUUAAGGUGAAUAUUCUCUUAAGGGAUAUUUUGCUGAGCAGGUUAUCCUUCUGGGCAACUGAGGCUCAGUCCUACUGGGGACCUUCUGAGGGGCCAAGAAUCUGUUAUCCAUCAAUAAUUGUUCCUUAGUGACUGAGGUUUAAACCUGGGGCUAUUGAUUUUCUACACUCUCGGCCUGCCCCAUGCUCCUGCUGUUAGGGAAAGCCCUCAGGUAGAGAGAGGCAGGCUGGGAGUGCAGAAAAAGGUCUACCACAGCUGUCGGUGACCUCCAGGGUGGGCCAUGGGAAUCUGGGCAGGACAGUGACAGUGCCUGCUGGAGGAGUGUCUGGACGGUCAUGCCCGCCCCAUCACAACCAAUGCAGGCUGUCUGCAGGUGCAGUGUACCCAGAAGGCAGCAAAGCUAUCUGAUGGGCACAGCCUGAGCCUGUGACCCUGGCCUCACCCUAGCCAGGUAUCUUCCUACAAAUGUUUCCGGAAGGCCCUGUUGAGUUGAUGGUCCCAAGUGCUCUAAGGGGCUGGUGGAUGAUUAUGAGAAAGGACUUCCUCCUUUUAUGUGUCCUCGAGGGGGUGGGGAAGUCAGGCACCAACUGGGUGUUGAUGUCUGUCACUAACUCACUGGGUGACCCUGAACAAAUCACUUGGCCUCUCUGGGCCUUAGGUGGCUUAUCUAAUAAUAAUAAUUGAAAGUCAUUAUGGCUUCAAUGAGCUUCUCAGUUUAUAAAUGGUAUUUAUUCUUUGGGAGUCUCAUAGCUUCCCUAUAGACUCAAGGCUGGUAAUCUUUUUUAAUGUUUAUUUAUUUAUUUUGAGAGAGAAAGUGCAUGCAGGUGGGGGGGGGGUGCAGAGAGAGAGAGAGAAUCCUAAGCAGUCUCCACACCCAGCAAGGACCCCAACGCGGGGCUCGAUCUCAUGGCCGUGAGAUCAUGACCUGAGCUGAAAUCAAGAGUUGGGUGCUUAACCGACUGAGCCACCCGGCCCCAAGGCUGGUAUUUUUAACCUUCUUUUUGAGUUGAAUUUGAGGUCUAGAGAGGGCUAGUGUGAUCUUAGGAUAGCACAGCUAAACGUGCCAGCACAAGCUCUUUAUUUUGCUCUUCCGUAGCUAACAUGAACAGUCCCCCAGGGUCUGUCCUUUGCAAAUUAUGGUGAAGAAAAUAGAGACAGCAUCACAUGUUGAAUGACGUAAUGACACCUGAUGGGGAAUAAUCCAUUACCUUUAAAAACAUGUCUUUCAACCUUAGUGGUAGCAUUCAUUUCUCCAUUCAUUCAUUUAUUCAUGGAAGAACGUUUUGUGAGGCAUCAGGUAUGUGCCCGGUGCGAUGAGAAGGGUUGGGGGUAAAGAGAGGAACCACCCAUGACGCUUGCCCUCGACAAAUUCACAGGUGUAGGAAGACAGACACUGAGACACAACCAGAGCAGAAAGUCCCUCAGCUGCCCCUUUAAUUUGUGGAAGUUUCUUACUGUUGCAACAGCCCUUGUGGAAAAAACAAGGGGGUGGGGGGGCACACAUGCGGUGGGCGUUGGAACACAGGCUUUAGCAACUCACGGUUGUGUUGAGGGUCUCGAGUGCACGCAGAGUGUGCACGGGUGUGGGGGGUGUGCCAGAGCGCGUUCUCGAAGGUCUGAAUCCCUCCCACCACAUUCCCCAUUGCGUCUCCCCAGUCGCAGGAACUUUGUAAUCAUAACCAGCCUGGGAUUUAACCAAACACAGCAUUCCACCACCCUCUGCAACCUCUUUGUUUGAUCUUCCCCCUGGAGACACAGGUCAUGAGGAAGAGAAGGGGGAGGGGGCACGCUGCAGGGAGUGUGUGUGGAGCUUCCUCUGAAUCUUCUUUUAAUUCGGGAACUGAAAACAAGAUGCCGGUUCCCAAAGCCUCCUGAGUUAACACCACCCUGCGUUAAAGGAGCUCAGUCACAGAGCUCCAGAGCACUGGCCACCUUGGAGGUCGCUACUCCAAUCCACUCAGGUUACAGACCCCAGAAAGGGGCAGUAGCUUCUUUGAUGUCACACAGCAGAAAGGAGCAGCUUUGCAGAUCAGCUUAACCAGCAAAUGCGCCGAGGGAGCGAGGGUGGUAAUGGAGAUUCAUUUAUGCUAGGGCGUGGAUGACUGAUAUCAUGGUGUUCUGACACCAAGAAAGAGGCUUAGGUAGUGGGGGCAGAGGAGGGGAGAUCAGAAGGGCACUGGAUCCUUCCAGUCAAGGUGACUGGGGCUCCGUCUGGAAGGAGGAGGGCACAGGGCUGGGAGGCGUCAGGCCCUGAAGAAAACCAUGGCAGCUGCUUUGUAUGUAAGCCCUGGGUCGGGUGUCUGAUUUUCUCCUUCCUCUGGGAAGGAAGCCGUGAGCUUUCCAAAGUGUCAAAUCACUCUUCGAGGCUAACCCUGUUGUCUUCUGGAGAGAAUGUGUUUUAGAUUUAUUUUCAAACUGCAUCUAAAGGCAUCAGCAGGGUUAUUCAUUUCGGCUACCUGGGUUUGGUGGGUGCCUCGAGCAUUCAUACACAGCAGCACUUCCUUCCUCCAGCCCUGUGGGAAAUGAGGUAUUUCUCAGGGCGAGCUUUCCCGUUUUGUCUUGUUUUGUUUUUUGGUUUUUUUUAAUAAUUUAAGCCCCCUGCUUUAUGUAUCUAAUCGCUUCAUAUUUUCAAUAUGAGAAUAGUUCUACCGGCAUUUUACGUUCUCGGAGUGUGUGGUAAUGGUUGUUUAUAAUUUCAAUUUCAUUUAUUCUUUUUCUUUAGUGUUUUUCAUUACUUAAGAAAUACAUACUCAUCGUAAAGGCUUCAAAAAAUAGAAAAGUAUAUAAAGUAAAAAGUAAACAUCACUUUAUCACUUCCGAUUGCUAGAGGUAGACACAGCACUUCUGUGCAUAUCUCGUUGGUUUCUUUUUCUCGUUUAACAGAAGAGGGAUUAUAUACUCCAUCAGUCGUUCUCAGAGGGUGGUCUUAUGAAUUCCUGAAGGUCCCUGAGACCAUUACACAGGAUCCACAAUGCCAAAACAAUGUUUAAUGAUAAUACUAAGGCAUUAUUUACUUUUUUACAAUUUUUUCUUUUUUUUUUUUUUAGUGUUUAUUGAUUUUUGAGACAGAGAGAGACAGAACACGAGUAGGGGAGGGGCAGAGAGAGAGGGAGACACAGAAUCCGAAGCAGGCUCCCGGCUCUGAGCUGUCAGCCCAGAGCCCGACGCGGGGCUCACACUCAAGAACCUCGAGAUCAUGACCUGAUCGGCGAAGUCUGAGGCUUAAGCGACUGAGCCACCCAGGCGCCCCAGCUUUGUGUGUGUGUGUGUUUCUCCCCCCACAGUGUUGACAUUGGCAUUGAUGUUACAAAAAGCAAAAGUUGAGUAGAACUGCUCGUGUGUUAGAUCAAGAGGUGACAGCCCCACACUCUCCUAAAGGUCAUUGUAACCCGUCACCCCCACACACUCGAAAUAACGGCAACACCAGUUUCUUUAAGAAUGUCUUUGAAAGCCGUAGAGAUGAUUCUUUUUAUUAAAUUUCAACCUUGGAGUACCUGUCUUUUUAAGGUCCUGUAGAAUGCCAUGAGAAGCACCCAUGGAGCACUUUCACUGCAUUCCGCAGGCCGUCUGGGGAGAAGGGCGUUUGCACUGAAUUGUUGGACUUGAAAACUGAAUUCCACUGGUUUUUUCAUGGAACACCAUUUUUACUUGAGGUGAUGACUAAAUGGUGAUCUUUGGUGAUUCAGAUUUGGGGAAUUUUUCAGACAUUUUCUCAAAACGGAAUGAAAAGAUCCUGUCCCUUCAAGGAAAACCGGCAGUGUUUAUAACUAAUGAUGACAUUCAAGCUU